AAUCAGUUUGAUUUGAAGACAUUCCUUUGCCUUACAUGGUCUUGUCUUUGACAUUCUGUAUACCUUUAUUAUUAGGUUAUGAAUUAUUUAUAUACCAAAUAUUACACUUUUAAAUAUUUUCAUGUUCUCUGAUCUUUAGAAUUAUUUAUGUUAAAAUUUUAAUUGGAAAGCCCAUUGCCUACUUAAGCUCAGGACUUUAUGACCUCAGAAUGGAGUGCCUUUGAGUUCUACAUGCUAACAGAAAUUUCAUAGUAACUGUACAUGAGGUUGGAGGAUCUAAUAUUGAAGCUGAUAAUAGAAGCAUUAAUGUAAAAACAGAACUUAUUUUUGUCAAAAAUGAGAUGUACGCUUGUCAUGAUUUAAGUAUGUUGGCCUCUUGUGUUUAUUGCUAUUUUGAGACAUGCCCACUUUCCUUCCAGUCAGAGGGGAGCAUGACUCGACUGGAGACAAAAACCAAAUGCAUUUCAAGAAGAAAAGGGAGAAAAGGGCAGAGCCUCCUCUGUGAUGAGCAUGGGUACCAUAUUCUCCGCAGAGCAUGGCCCGCCCAGCCCAGCUGCUGUACUAGGCCAGAUACCACAUGUCCCUUCAGGAUGGUGGGAGUACUUAACCCUAGUUCCUGGGAGCCAGAGGACCGUCCGAUGUGCCAACAACAAGCCUGCAGAGAUCGCAAUCCUGGGGAGCAGCCCAAAGCUUUGGUGUAAAUGAACCACUGGAUUUCAGCUCUCAUUUGCUGGGCCUUUGGACAAUUCCUCUCCCUACAGCAAGCUCAGUAGGUAUACAAAACACCCUAUGUAACAACUUUUGCCUACAGUCAAAUAAAGAUUGCA